GAUGAAGAACGCAGCGAAAUGCGAUAAGUAAUGUGAAUUGCAGAAUUCAGUGAAUCAUCGAAUCUUUGAACGCACAUUGCGCCCGCCAGCACUCUGGCGGGCAUGCCUGUUCGAGCGUCAUUUCAACCAUCAAGCCCCCAGGGGCUUGUGCUGGGGCCCUGCGGCUGCCCGCAGGCCCUGAAAACCAGUGGCGGGCUCGCUAGUCACACCGAGCGCAGUAGCACAUCUCGCUCAGGGCGUGCGGCGGGCUCCUGCCGUGAAACCCCCCACUGUAACCCCAAAGGUUGACCUCGAAUCAGGUAGGAAUACCCGCUGAACUUAAGCAUAUCAAUAAGCGGAGGA
rnacentral:misc_RNA from 1 species